GCGGGUAUAGCUCAGUUGGGAGAGCGUCAGACUGAAGUCCACUUCGGUUGUCCUUAAGCUGGGAUCUGAAGGUCAUGUGUUCAAUCCACAUUAGCCGCA